GGGGGGGGGGGGGGGGGGGGGGGGGCGGGGGGGGUGGGGGCGGGGGGGGGGGGCUUGUGCGGGCUGGGUGAGCGGCGACCGGGGGAGUACCGCGUGGGGACUCUGCCUUUGGGCGGGGGACAACAUUGGGAGACGAAUGCUACUACCGCAUAAAACCUUUAAACACCAGUUUUAAGUUUGACGGAUGCAGUUGCAUCACUCCAGGAUGGUCCCGCGUUGUCUUAGCUAUUUGGUGCGGAAAAGGCUCACCAAGGCGAUGAUACAUAGCCGACCUGAGAGGGUGAUCGGCCACAUUGGGACUGAGACACGGCCCAAACUCCUACGGGAGGCAGCAGUAGGGAAUCUUCGGCAAUGGACGAAAGUCUGACCGAGCAACGCCGCGUGAGUGAAGAAGGUUUUCGGAUCGUAAAACUCUGUUGGUAGAGAAGAACGUUGGUGAGAGUGGAAAGCUCAUCAAGUGACGGUAACUACCCAGAAAGGGACGGCUAACUACGUG
rnacentral:rRNA from 1 species